rnacentral:rRNA from 1 species
GAUGAACGCUAGCUACAGGCUUAACACAUGCAAGUCGAGGGGAAACGCCAUCGAAAGCUUGCUUUUGAUGGGCGUCGACCCGCGCACGGGAGAGUAACGCGUAUCCCACCUGCUCACCACUUGGGGAUAACCUUGCGAAAGUAAUACUAAUACACAAUGACUUCUCUAGAAGACAUCGGAAAGAGAGAAAAUAUUUAUCGGUGUUGGAUGGGGAUGCGUCUGAUUAGUUGGUUGGCGGGGUAACGGCCCGCCAAGGCGACGAUCCGUAGGGGAUCUGAGGGGAAGGUCCACCGCAUUGGAGCUGCGGCCCGGUCCACACUCCUACGGGAGGCAGCAGUAAAUUAUAUUAGUCACUGAAGGAGGGUCUGAACCAGCCAAGUAGCGUACAGGAGGCCUGCCGUAUGGGUUGUAAUCUGCUUUGAUAAGAGAAUAAAGUGAUUAUCGUGAGACUUUUUGCAUGUACCUUAUGAAUAAGCACCGGCUAACUCCGUG